CGCGAAAGUCCCCUUCGGGGGACAAGUAGAGUGGCGCACGAGUGAGUAACACGUAGGUAAUCUACCUUCGGAUGGGGAAUAACAAUCGGAAACGAUUGCUAAUACCGCAUAAUGCAGCGGCACCUAAUGGUGACAGUUGUUAAAGCGGGGGAUCGAAAGACCUCGCGUCUGAAGAGGAGCCUGCGGCGGAUUAGCUAGUUGGUAAGGUAAUGGCUUACCAAGGCAACGAUCCGUAACCGGCCUGAGAGGGCGGUCGGUCACACUGACACUGACAUACGGGUCAGACUCCUACGGGAGGCAGCAGUCGGGAAUUUUGGGCAAUGGGCGAAAGCCUGACCCAGCAACGCCGCGUGAAGGAUGAAAUCCCUCGGGAUGUAAACUUCGCAAGAACGGGAAGAAUAAGUAGGGGACAAUACCCCCUAUGAUGACGGUACCGUUUGUAAGCUCCGGCUAACUCCGUGCCAGUAGCCGCGGUAAUACGGGGGGAGCAAGCGUUGUUCGGAUUUACUGGGCGUAAAGGGCGCGUAGGCGGCCAGCACAAGUCAGCUGUGAAAUCUCCGAGCUUAACUCGGAAAGGUCAACUGAUACUGUGCGGCUAGAGUGCGGAAGGGGCAACUGGAAUUCUUGGUGUAGCGGUGAAAUGCGUAGAUAUCAAGAGGAACACCUGCGGCGAAGGCGGGUUGCUGGGCCGACAC
rnacentral:rRNA from 1 species